ACACUCCUGGGAAGUAAGCAUAUUACUGUCCCCAUUUUACAAAUGGGAAAACAGAGGCUACAGAGAGAUGAAAGGUCUUGCCCAAGAUCACAAAGCAGGUCAAUGGCAGAGGCAGAUUAGUGCUCAGGGAUUCCUAGCUCCUAACCCCAUACUCUGUCCACAGGCCCCUUUGCUCCUGAUCUGCACAAUCCAGUGGAAAGAGGGCCACCGUCCUCCACCGGCUCCCCCUGGGCCGGAGAGAGGGUCCAAGCAAGGCAUGGUGGUGGGCUCUCAGCACACGUAAUGGGCGGCUGGUAACAACCAGGAACAGGGCCUGGGGAGCGGCUGGCCCUGGGUCUCAAGCAGGAACUUACUGCAGAAAAACUCUUCUUCUGGCUUUGAUCAGCCACCGCCACCACGCGCCAGCAGCACCGCAGCCAGUGGUUCGGGGGCUUGGAGGGCGCGGGGUUGUAGGGAGAAAAACAGGAUGUCCAGUUUUACCAUGGUGAUUAAGCACUUUCCACUCCAACAGUAACUCAAGAGGAUGUUGGACAGCAGCGGCUUCUAAAGUUGGACAUACUUAAAUCAGCAGACCCUGGUAACUUGCACCAUGAGUUUUAAAAGAGCUGACUGAAACACUCCCAGGACCAAUACUGUUCAUUUUCAAUAACUCUUAGAACACUGGGGAAGUUUGAGAACACUGAAAGAAAACUAAUAUUAUGCCAGUAUUUUAAAAAGGAUUAAGAAGAUUUGACCCCCAUAACCUCACUUUGGCUAGAACAUCUGAUUUUGUGGUGUAAUACAG